rnacentral:rRNA from 1 species
CAGCCACACUGGACUGAGACACGGUCCAGACUCCUACGGGAGGCAGCAGUGGGGAAUAUUGCACAAUGGGCGCAAGCCUGAUGCAGCCAUGCCGCGUGUAUGAAGAAGCCUUCGGGUUGUAAAGUACUUUCAGCGGGGAGGAAGGGAGUAAAGUUAAUACCUUUGCUCAUUGACGUUACCCGCAGAAGAAGCACCGGCUAACUCCGUCCAGCAGCCGCGGUAAUACGGAGGGUGCAGCGUUAAUCGGAAUUACUGGGCGUAAAGCGCACGCAGGCGGUUUGUUAAGUCAGAUGUGAAAUCCCCGGGCUCAACCUGGAACUGCAUCUGAUACUGGCAAGCUUGAGUCUCGUAGAGGGGGGUAGAAUCCAGGUGUAGCGGUGAAAUGCGUAGAGAUCUGGAGGAAUACCGGUGGCGAAGGCGGCCCCCUGGACGAAGACUGACGCUCAGGUCGAAAGCGUGGGGAGCAAACAGGAUUAGAUACCCUGGUAGUCCACGCCGUAAACGAUGUCGACUUGGAGGUUGUGCCUUGAGGCGUGGCUUCCGGAGCUAACGCGUUAAGUCGACCGCCUGGGGAGUACGGCCGCAAGGUUAAAACUCAAUGAAUUGACGGGGGCCCGCACAAGCGGUGGAGCAUGUGGUUUAAUUCGAUGCAACGCGAAGAACCUUACUGGUCUUGACAUCCACGGAAGUUUUCAGAGAUGAGAAUGUGCCUUCGGGAACCGUGAGACAGGUGCUGCAUGCUGUCGUCAGCUCGUGUUGUGAAAUGUUGGGUUAAGUCCCGCAACGAGCGCAACCCUUAUCCUUUGUUGCCAGCGUCCGGCCGGGAACUCAAAGGAGACUGCCAGUGAUAAACUGGAGGAAGGUGGGGAUGACGUCAAGUCAUCUGGCCCU